rnacentral:rRNA from 1 species
GACGAACGCUGGCGGCGUGCUUAACACAUGCAAGUCGAGCGGUAAGGCCCUUUCGGGGGUACACGAGCGGCGAACGGGUGAGUAACACGUGGGUGACCUGCCCUUAGCUCUGGGAUAAGCCUGGGAAACUGGGUCUAAUACCGGAUAUGACUCCAUGACGCAUGUUGUGGGGUGGAAAGCCUUGUGCGGCUAGGGAUGGGCCCGCGGCCUAUCAGCUUGUUGGUGGGGUGAUGGCCACCAAAGGCGACGACGGGUAGCCGGCCUGAGAGGGCGACCGGCCACACUGGGACUGAGACACGGCCCAGACUCCUACGGGAGGCAGCAGUGGGGAAUCUUGCGCAAU